rnacentral:rRNA from 1 species
AUUGAACGCUGGCGGCAGGCCUAACACCUGCAAGUCGAACGAGUGGCGGACGGGUGAGUAAUGUCUGGGCAACUGCCUGAUGGAGGGGGAUAACUACUGGAAACGGUAGCUAAUACCGCAUACCAUCAGAUGUGCCCCGAUGGGAUUAGCUUGUUGGUGGGGGAAAGGCUCACCAAGGCGACGAUCCCUAGCUGGUCUGAGAGUAUGACCAGCCACACUGGAACGGAGACACGGUCCAGACUCAUACGGGAGGCAGCAGUGGGGAAGAGUGCACAAUGGGCGCAAGCCGGAUGCAGCCAUGCCGCGUGUAUGAAGAAGGCCGUCGGGUUGUAAAGUACUUUCAGCGGGGAGGCGUUACCCGCAGAAGAAGCACCGGCUAACUCCGUGCCAGCCGCCGCGGUAAUUC